GACAGAGGGUGCAAACGUUGUUCGGAAUUACUGGGACGGUAAAGCGCGUGUUAGGCUGCUUCGCAAGUCGGGAUGUGAAAGCCCCUGGGCUCAACCCAGGAAGUUGACAUUCGAAACUGCAGAGCUGGAGUCCUGGAGAGGAAGGCGGAAUUCUCGGUGUAGAGGUGAAAUUCGUAGAUAUCGAGAGGAACACCGGUGGCGAAGGCGGACCUUCUGGACAGUGACUGACGCUGAGACGCGAAAGCGUGGGGAGCAAACAGG
rnacentral:rRNA from 1 species